rnacentral:lncRNA from 1 species
UAGAUCUUAUAUUGAAGUGCGUAACAUGCACUAGAGUCUAAUACUCAAUUGGAAGAAGAAAAAAAUUAUAAGAUCAAAUUUGAGCAACUCGAUAUAUCUUCCAAAGGUAUGUCUAUGUUUCUUUAGGCUUUCCAGAUAUGUACCUCUGAACUUUUUAAAGUCCUUUUAGUUACCAACAUAUUGAUCAAUUCAGUUAAACUGCUAUAAUAUUUAUUUAUAUAAUAGUUUC